UUAAGUUAUUAAGGGCGCACGGUGGAUGCCUUGGCACUAGAAGCCGAUGAAGGACGUUACUAACGACGAUAUGCUUUGGGGAGCUGUAAGUAAGCUUUGAUCCAGAGAUUUCCGAAUGGGGAAACCCAGCAUGAGUUAUGUCAUGUUAUCGAUAUGUGAAUACAUAGCAUAUCAGAAGGCACACCCGGAGAACUGAAACAUCUUAGUACCCGGAGGAAGAGAAAGAAAAUUCGAUUCCCUUAGUAGCGGCGAGCGAAACGGGAAGAGCCCAAACCAACAAGCUUGCUUGUUGGGGUUGUAGGACACUCUAUACGGAGUUACAAAGGACGACAUUAGACGAAUCAUCUGGAAAGAUGAAUCAAAGAAGGUAAUAAUCCUGUAGUCGAAAAUGUUGUCUCUCUUGAGUGGAUCCUGAGUACGACGGAGCACGUGAAAUUCCGUCGGAAUCUGGGAGGACCAUCUCCUAAGGCUAAAUACUCUCUAGUGACCGAUAGUGAACCAGUACCGUGAGGGAAAGGUGAAAAGCACCCCGGAAGGGGAGUGAAAUAGAACCUGAAACCGUGUGCUUACAAGUAGUCAGAGCCCGUUAAUGGGUGAUGGCGUGCCUUUUGUAGAAUGAACCGGCGAGUUACGAUUUGAUGCAAGGUUAAGCAGUAAAUGUGGAGCCGUAGCGAAAGCGAGUCUGAAUAGGGCGUUUAGUAUUUGGUCGUAGACCCGAAACCAGGUGAUCUACCCUUGGUCAGGUUGAAGUUCAGGUAACACUGAAUGGAGGACCGAACCGACUUACGUUGAAAAGUGAGCGGAUGAACUGAGGGUAGCGGAGAAAUUCCAAUCGAACCUGGAGAUAGCUGGUUCUCUCCGAAAUAGCUUUAGGGCUAGCCUCAAGUGAUGAUUAUUGGAGGUAGAGCACUGUUUGGACGAGGGGCCCCUCUCGGGUUACCGAAUUCAGACAAACUCCGAAUGCCAAUUAAUUUAACUUGGGAGUCAGAACAUGGGUGAUAAGGUCCGUGUUCGAAAGGGAAACAGCCCAGACCACCAGCUAAGGUCCCAAAAUAUAUGUUAAGUGGAAAAGGAUGUGGCGUUGCCCAGACAACUAGGAUGUUGGCUUAGAAGCAGCCAUCAUUUAAAGAGUGCGUAAUAGCUCACUAGUCGAGUGACACUGCGCCGAAAAUGUACCGGGGCUAAACAUAUUACCGAAGCUGUGGAUUGUCCUUUGGACAAUGGUAGGAGAGCGUUCUAAGGGCGUUGAAGCAUGAUCGUAAGGACAUGUGGAGCGCUUAGAAGUGAGAAUGCCGGUGUGAGUAGCGAAAGACGGGUGAGAAUCCCGUCCACCGAUUGACUAAGGUUUCCAGAGGAAGGCUCGUCCGCUCUGGGUUAGUCGGGUCCUAAGCUGAGGCCGACAGGCGUAGGCGAUGGAUAACAGGUUGAUAUUCCUGUACCACCUAUAAUCGUUUUAAUCGAUGGGGGGACGCAGUAGGAUAGGCGAAGCGUGCGAUUGGAUUGCACGUCUAAGCAGUAAGGCUGAGUAUUAGGCAAAUCCGGUACUCGUUAAGGCUGAGCUGUGAUGGGGAGAAGACAUUGUGUCUUCGAGUCGUUGAUUUCACACUGCCGAGAAAAGCCUCUAGAUAGAAAAUAGGUGCCCGUACCGCAAACCGACACAGGUAGUCAAGAUGAGAAUUCUAAGGUGAGCGAGCGAACUCUCGUUAAGGAACUCGGCAAAAUGACCCCGUAACUUCGGGAGAAGGGGUGCUCUUUAGGGUUAACGCCCAGAAGAGCCGCAGUGAAUAGGCCCAAGCGACUGUUUAUCAAAAACACAGGUCUCUGCUAAACCGUAAGGUGAUGUAUAGGGGCUGACGCCUGCCCGGUGCUGGAAGGUUAAGAGGAGUGGUUAGCUUCUGCGAAGCUACGAAUCGAAGCCCCAGUAAACGGCGGCCGUAACUAUAACGGUCCUAAGGUAGCGAAAUUCCUUGUCGGGUAAGUUCCGACCCGCACGAAAGGCGUAACGAUUUGGGCACUGUCUCAACGAGAGACUCGGUGAAAUCAUAGUACCUGUGAAGAUGCAGGUUACCCGCGACAGGACGGAAAGACCCCGUGGAGCUUUACUGUAGCCUGAUAUUGAAAUUCGGCACAGCUUGUACAGGAUAGGUAGGAGCCUUUGAAACGUGAGCGCUAGCUUACGUGGAGGCGCUGGUGGGAUACUACCCUAGCUGUGUUGGCUUUCUAACCCGCACCACUUAUCGUGGUGGGAGACAGUGUCAGGCGGGCAGUUUGACUGGGGCGGUCGCCUCCUAAAAGGUAACGGAGGCGCUCAAAGGUUCCCUCAGAAUGGUUGGAAAUCAUUCAUAGAGUGUAAAGGCAUAAGGGAGCUUGACUGCGAGACCUACAAGUCGAGCAGGGUCGAAAGACGGACUUAGUGAUCCGGUGGUUCCGCAUGGAAGGGCCAUCGCUCAACGGAUAAAAGCUACCCCGGGGAUAACAGGCUUAUCUCCCCCAAGAGUUCACAUCGACGGGGAGGUUUGGCACCUCGAUGUCGGCUCAUCGCAUCCUGGGGCUGUAGUCGGUCCCAAGGGUUGGGCUGUUCGCCCAUUAAAGCGGUACGCGAGCUGGGUUCAGAACGUCGUGAGACAGUUCGGUCCCUAUCCGUCGUGGGCGUAGGAAAUUUGAGAGGAGCUGUCCUUAGUACGAGAGGACCGGGAUGGACAUACCUCUGGUGUACCAGUUGUCGUGCCAACGGCAUAGCUGGGUAGCUAUGUGUGGACGGGAUAAGUGCUGAAAGCAUCUAAGCAUGAAGCCCCCCUCAAGAUGAGAUUUCCCAACUUCGGUUAUAAGAUCCCUCAAAGAUGAUGAGGUUAAUAGGUUCGAGGUGGAAGCAUGGUGACAUGUGGAGCUGACGAAUACU
rnacentral:rRNA from 1 species